rnacentral:rRNA from 1 species
CCUACGGGAGGCAGCAGUAGGGAAUCUUCCACAAUGGGCGAAAGCCUGAUGGAGCAACGCCGCGUGGGUGAAGAAGGUCUUCGGAUCGUAAAACCCUUUUGUUAGAGAAGAAAGUGCGUGAGAGUAACUGUUCACGUUUCGACGGUAUCUAACCAGAAAGCCACGGCUAAUUACGUGCCAGCAGCCGCCGUAAUACGUAGGUGGCUAGCGUUAUCCGGAUUUAUUGGGCGUAAAGGGAACGCAGGCGGUCUUUUAAGUCUGAUGGGAAAGCCUUCGGCUUAACCGGAGUAGUGCAUUGGAAACUGGGAGACUUGAGUGCAGAAGAGGAGAGUGGAACUCCAGGUGUAGCGGUGAAAUGCGUAGAUAUAUGGAAGAACCCCAGUGGCGAAGGCGGCUCUCUGGUCUGUAACUGACGCUGAGGUUCGAAAGCGUGGGUAGCAAACAGGAUUAGAUACCCGGGUAGUC